GAAAAUGAUAAUUAGGAGCUUCUAACUCUUAAAAUUGCAGUUAGUGUAACAUUUUUC
rnacentral:tRNA from 1 species